GAGUUUGAUCCUGGCUCAGGAUGAACGCUAGCUACAGGCUUAACACAUGCAAGUCGAGGGGCAUCAGGAAGAAAGCUUGCUUUCUUUGCUGGCGACCGGCGCACGGGUGAGUAACACGUAUCCAACCUGCCCUUUACUCGGGGAUAGCCUUUCGAAAGAAAGAUUAAUACCCGAUGGCAUAAUGAUUCCGCAUGGUUUCAUUAUUAAAGGAUUCCGGUAAAGGAUGGGGAUGCGUUCCAUUAGGUUGUUGGUGAGGUAACGGCCCACCAAGCCUUCGAUGGAUAGGGGUUCUGAGAGGAAGGUCCCCCACAUUGGAACUGAGACACGGUCCAAACUCCUACGGGAGGCAGCAGUGAGGAAUAUUGGUCAAUGGGCGCUAGCCUGAACCAGCCAAGUAGCGUGAAGGAUGAAGGCUCUAUGGGUCGUAAACUUCUUUUAUAUAAGAAUAAAGUGCAGUAUGUAUACUGUUUUGUAUGUAUUAUAUGAAUAAGGAUCGGCUAACUCCGUGCCAGCAGCCGCGGUAAUACGGAGGAUCCGAGCGUUAUCCGGAUUUAUUGGGUUUAAAGGGAGCGUAGGUGGACUGGUAAGUCAGUUGUGAAAGUUUGCGGCUCAACCGUAAAAUUGCAGUUGAUACUGUCAGUCUUGAGUACAGUAGAGGUGGGCGGAAUUCGUGGUGUAGCGGUGAAAUGCUUAGAUAUCACGAAGAACUCCGAUUGCGAAGGCAGCUCACUGGACUGCAACUGACACUGAUGCUCGAAAGUGUGGGUAUCAAACAGGAUUAGAUACCCUGGUAGUCCACACAGUAAACGAUGAAUACUCGCUGUUUGCGAUAUACAGUAAGCGGCCAAGCGAAAGCAUUAAGUAUUCCACCUGGGGAGUACGCCGGCAACGGUGAAACUCAAAGGAAUUGACGGGGGCCCGCACAAGCGGAGGAACAUGUGGUUUAAUUCGAUGAUACGCGAGGAACCUUACCCGGGCUUAAAUUGCAGUGGAAUGAUGUGGAAACAUGUCAGUGAGCAAUCACCGCUGUGAAGGUGCUGCAUGGUUGUCGUCAGCUCGUGCCGUGAGGUGUCGGCUUAAGUGCCAUAACGAGCGCAACCCUUAUCUUUAGUUACUAACAGGUUAUGCUGAGGACUCUAGAGAGACUGCCGUCGUAAGAUGUGAGGAAGGUGGGGAUGACGUCAAAUCAGCACGGCCCUUACGUCCGGGGCUACACACGUGUUACAAUGGGGGGUACAGAAGGCAGCUAGCGGGUGACCGUAUGCUAAUCCCAAAAGCCUCUCUCAGUUCGGAUCGAAGUCUGCAACCCGACUUCGUGAAGCUGGAUUCGCUAGUAAUCGCGCAUCAGCCACGGCGCGGUGAAUACGUUCCCGGGCCUUGUACACACCGCCCGUCAAGCCAUGGGAGCCGGGGGUACCUGAAGUACGUAACCGCAAGGAUCGUCCUAGGGUAAAACUGGUGACUGGGGCUAAGUCGUAACAAGGUAGCCGUACCGGAAGGUGCGGCUGGAACACC
rnacentral:rRNA from 1 species